GAUCCCUCCUUUGGAGAUUUACAGUGAGCCCCGGAUAUGGGGUCAUUAGUUCUUCCAUGUGGAGAUCCAUUACUGCCAGGGAUUUCCAAAGCCCAGUCAAAUGAUUCAUCCAGGAUCACCGUAUUGUAAAGAUGAUACUGAGACCUCGUGUGCACAGUCUUACGGAGUUCACAGUUGGCACUGGGAAUAAGCCCACAGGCCUGAUAAAAGCCUGAAACGGCCAGCAUGGUGGGCACAGAGCAGAUGGCAGCAGGAAAGCUAAGGGAUAUUUAAUUAUUACUACUGGAUUCAGCCGAAGCACGUCUCAAGUCAUCCAGUAAGGAGCCACUGCCCAGGUGCUCUGAAUCUUAAGGAGGCAGCAUAAGAGCUGUCAGGACUGAGAAAAGAUUCACCCCACUCCCAGAUGUGCAUUCCCCUUCCUCAGGAGGCACCAAAGCGGGCUUUUCCUACGUAGGCAGCAUCCUUCUCUCAUUCUUACCUGCUAAAACCCUUCCAAAGAUAGGGUUGAACUUUUGUCUCUAGGCUUCAGAAUGAAAAUAAAGAGUAAGAAGGGAAAAAAACAACAACAACAAAAACUUCAAUUGACCCUCAGUUUCUGUUUGACCGUCACAGU